UGCGCUGAUGAUCCCGUAGGAAGUGCCGUCCGAAGCGAGACCUGACGACUAGUACGCCUAGCUGACC